UACGUAGGGACCAAGCGUUUGUUCGGAUUUACUGGGCGUAAAGGGCGCGUAGGCGGCGUGACAAGUCACUUGUGAAAUCUCUGGGCUUAACCCAGAACGGCCAAGUGAAACUGUUGUGCUAGAGUGCAGAAGGGGCAAUCGGAAUUCUCGGUGUAGCGGUGAAAUGCGUAGAUAUCGAGAGGGACACCAGAGGUGAAGACGGGUUGCUGGGCUGACACUGACGGCUGAGGCGCGAAAGCCAGGGGAGCAAACGGGG
rnacentral:rRNA from 1 species